UGUAAUCGGGUGCAUCGAUGGGACUCAUGUACGGAUCCAGGCCCCUUCACACGACGAAAAUUCCUUCGUGAAUAGGAAAGGAUUUCACAGCAUCAAUGUCCAAGCUGUAUGUGACCACGAAGGAAAGCUUACAAACAUCAAUGCAUCUUGGCCUGGGUCUGUACAUGAUUCCCACAUCUUCAGAACAUCACAGAUCAGAACAUAUUUGGAGGAGGAGGAGAACGGUCUAUUUGAAAAUGGAGUUUUG